rnacentral:rRNA from 1 species
GACGAACGCUGGCGGCGUGCUUAACACAUGCAAGUCGAACGAUGAACCCGGAGCUUGCUCCGGUGGAUUAGUGGCGAACGGGUGAGUAACACGUGAGUAACCUGCCCUUGACUCUGGGAUAACUGCGGGAAACUGUAGCUAAUACCGGAUACGACCCUCGGCGGCAUCGCCAGGGGGUGGAAAGAAUUUAGGUCAAGGAUGGACUCGCGGCCUAUCAGCUAGUUGGUGAGGUAACGGGUCACCAAGGCGACGACGGGUAGCCGGCCUGAGAGGGUGACCGGCCACACUAGGACUGAGACACGGCCCAGACUCCUACGGGAGGCAGCAGUGGGGAAUAUUGCACAAUGGGCGCAAGCCUGAUGCAGCAACGCCGCGUGAGGGAUGACGGCCUUCGGGUUGUAAACCUCUUUUAGUAGGGAAGAAGCGAAAGUGACGGUACCUGCAGAAAAAGCACCGGCUAACUACGUGCCAGCCGCCGCAGUAA